CCUACGGGCGGCAGCAGUGGGGAAUAUUGCACAAUGGGGGAAACCCUGAUGCAGCGACGCCGCGUGAGUGAAGAAGUAUCUCGGUACGUAAAGCUCUAUCAGCAGGGAAGAAAGAAAUGACGGUACCUGACUAAGAAGCCCCGGCUAACUACGGGCCAGCCGCCGCGGUAAUACGUAGGGGGCAAGCGUUAUCCGGAUUUACUGGGUGGAAAGGGAGCGUAGACGGCGAUGCAAGUCUGAAGUGAAAGGCGGGGGCCCAACCCCCGGACUGCUUUGGAAACUGUAUGGCUGGAGUGCAGGAGAGGUAAGUGGAAUUCCUGGUGUAGCGGUGAAAUGCGUAGAUAUUAGGAGGAACACCAGUGGCGAAGGCGGCUUACUGGACUGUAACUGACGUUGAGGCUCGAAAGCGUGGGGAGCAAACAGGAUUAGAUACCCUAGUAGUC
rnacentral:rRNA from 1 species